rnacentral:lncRNA from 1 species
AUGUUUCCUGCUAGCAGAGAACUGAAAAAGCAAGCUCUGCCUCUGUUCCUUCUCUGGUUUUUGUAUGAUCUCCCACUUGCUCUAGUGCCUCACUUGAGAAGGCCGGGGACCGGAAGCAAGCCGCCAGCUCGGGGUCCAAGGCUCCCUCCGACGCCCUGGCCGAUCUCCACGGACUGUCAGUUCCAGCCUCCUCAUCCUAGAAGGGAGAAAAGCGGCCAAGGGCGCCUAACAAAGCAAAGGAGACACUUGCUUCAGAGGGUGGAAGGAGCCGGAGAAGCUUCCCUGUCCUCGCUGUGGCCAACGUGGGAGGACUGGUGUCGCCGCCGACAGGCGAGUCUGCGCAGUCCGGCGGGGGCCACGCGACCCCUUCCCCUAUGUCUUCGUGGCGCAGUCCCGCCCACGCGGGCGAGACAGGAGCCGGACUGGCGGACUUGCGUUUGAUUGACUGGCACGCAAAGCUGCCCCAAGGCAGGCAGAGAACCAGCAGAGGGUCGCCUUUGGAUGUACGAAGCCGAAGGGCACCCCAAUGAUGACCUUCGAAGGAGUUGCAGAGAAAUCUAAAUGGCACCUCCUCCCUGUCCAAGACUGUGAACAGCAGCGACAAUAAUAGUAUCAUGACUUUAUUUUUGAGUUUUAUACAAAUGCCCUUAGCUUCCAUUACAGUCCGGGCCCUUCCACACAGCCAUGUAACCCAGAAUAAUAAGACAGACAAUCCCACAAUAUCUGCUUUGAACUGGUUAUCUGAGGCCCCUUCCAGACAUGCCCUCUAACCCAGGAUCUGAUUCCAGGUUUUCUGCUUUAAAUUGGAUUAUUUGACUCCACGCUGCCAGAAAGACAGAAAACCUGGAAUCAGAUUCCAGGAUUUAGGGCCUGCCUGGAAGGGCCCUGAGUCUACACUGACAUAUAACCCAGUUCAAAGCAGCAAAUACAGGAUUUAAUUCAGCUGUGUGGAAGGGGUCUCAGUUGGUACUAUUUUCCUCUGUGUGGUUUUAUUUCAAGUGGGGUUGACUCACAUUAUCAUGGAAAUGAAAUACAGGUUUGGCAUCUCUUACUUGAAAUGCUUGGGAUCAGAAAUGUUUUGGAUUUCUGAUAUUUUCGCCAUGGUUUUGCAAAAUCUGUAUUUGCAGAUAUUUACCUUAUGGGAUAUCUUGGAGAUGGAACCCCAGUCUAAACAUAUAGGCCCCUUCUACACUGCCAAAUUAAAUCCAGAUUAUCUGCAUUGAACUGGAUUAUAUGGCAGUGUAGACUCAUAUAAUCAAAUUCAAAGCAGAUAAUGUCUAUUAUCUACAUUGAUAAUCUGGAUUAUAUGGCAGAGUAGAAGGGGACAUAGCCGGAAGGCAAUUUUAUAUGCACUCUUUUAAUAAUUUUGUGCAUGACACAACGUUUGUGGGCACUGGAGCAACAGAAAGGGAAAAUGUCACUAUCUCAGGCCCCUUCCACACAGCUGAAUAAAAUUCCACAUUUUCUGCUUUGAACUGGAAUAUAUGGCAGUGUAGACUCAGAUAGCCCAGUUCAAAGCAGAUAGUGUGGGAUUUUCUGCCUUGAUAUUCUGGGUUAUAUGGCUGUGUGGAAGGGCCCUGGAUCUACACUGCCAUAUAAUCCAGAUUAUCAAAGCAGAUAAUCCACAUUAACUGCUUUGAAUGGGAUUAUAUGAGCCCACACUACUGUGUGCAAGGGCCCUCAGGUACCCAUCUGGACCAUUUCAAACUCUGGAAGAUUAUGGAAUUUUGGAUAAGGGAUGCACAAUCUGUACUUGGAUCGAAACCAAACGAUUUUCACUCAAGAAAGUGUCACAAAGGCCCCCUUCCACACAGCUGUAUAAAAUCCACAUUGAAUUAAAUUAUAUGGCAAUGUGAACUCAAGCAACCCAGUUCAAAGCAGAUAUUGUGGAUCAUCUGCCUUUAUAUUCUGGGUUAUAUGUCUGUGUGGAAGGGCCCAAAAAGUUUUUUUUAAAAAUGGGAAUCAAAUGAUUUUUCUAUCCCAUCCUAUUUUGUUACAGUCAUCUUUAUUAAAUGUGGGUUCCAUCAAUAGCAAACACUGGGAGACUAAACCAAAGUUUGCUAGAUACCUUGCAAAUACAGUUUUUGGACCAGGGCUAUUUCAUUGUGAAGAAUUUUAAAACUGGCAUAUGAGCACAACUGCAUUAUAAUUUUCAAUGUGUUAUCGAAGGAUUCCAUGGGCAGAAUCACUGGGUUGCUGUGAGUUUUCCAGGCUGUAUGGCUAUGCUCCAGAAGCAUUCUCCCCUGACAUUUCACCCACAUCUAUGGCAGGUUUUUAUAUCUGUGGAAUGUCCAGGGUUUGUUUGUUUGAGGCAAGUGUAAAUGUUUCAGGAAACAGCCAGGUUUUGAAGCUGCAAUGCUAAUCAAAACAAGGCAGCCAAUUGCAACAUUCACACUUGCCUCAAACAGACAAGAGUUCUUUCUCCCACCCUGGACAUUCCACAGAUAUAUAAACCCCAUUGAUUUAGUUUCUAACAGUGAAUGCGUGCCAUAGUUGUGGGCAAAACGUCAGGAGAGAAUGCUUCUGGAACAUGGCCAUACUGCCCGGAAAACUCACAGCAACCCAUUAUAAUUUUCCUCUUUCUUUUCCUUAUGCUGAUUGAACAGUAUUCAUAAGAUCUUAACAUCAUAAAAUGCUCAAGUCUCCCUUUGUCAGUUAUAAAUUUGCCUCUAAUCCUUAAUGUAAAAGGGCAAGUAGCAAGUCCCCUCUUCCCAAUUUUAUAUUUUUAUAACAAGCCAAUAAAAGACUGAUAAGAAUCCUGAUUGUGUCAUUCCCUUUCUGACCUUUUUUCUGUGGAAAAGUGCCUUAAGACCAAAUCUUAAUUGCAUUUAUUUAGUAGUACAUUCAGCUGAUUUCAAUAGAGUUUCCUCAUGACUGAGACAAGAAUUCAAGUAUUCAAUAUUUUUGAAAAGCAUAAACGUUAGUAAUGAAAUGUAAAGGUCAAAAUCUAUAUAUAGCACCAGAACAUUAAUAACUGUCAUAGUACUAACACAGCAUUAGUAAUUACCUCCCUGACUGGAUCUACACUGCCAUGUAAUCCAGUUUCUGAAUCCAGAUUAUUUGCUUUGACCUGGAUUAUGUGAGUCUACACUGCCAAAUAAUCCAGCUCAAAGCAGAUAAUCUGGAUGAAGAAACUGGAUUAUGUGGCAGUGUAGAUGGGACCUCAGAUAUUAAAUACAACUUGAGUAGUCACAUAAAAAUAAUGUACCACCACAUAUCAGCAAUCAAUACGUUAUCAAAUGUUGAAGCCAAAUUUUGGUUGUGCUGUGUUAUUAUCAGUAAUAACAGUAAGGCCAUGGACCAUAUUUUAGUUCUUGCAGACCACUGGUGGUCCACGGACCACAGGUUGGGAACAACUGUCAUAGAGCAUGGUCUCCAAACCUUGCCAAUUGAAAUGGAUGGGUACUUGAGCUCAAAAACAUAAAAAGAGUUUCACUGGAUCAGAUCAAAAUGUCAUUUCUGUGCGCAUACACUGGAUGAACUGUUGCAUGAUAGGCAAUAGCAUUUUCCUAUGCAUUCUAUAUCUAUCACCCCUAAGCAACAACGCAUCAUAGGAACAUACACAAUAUUAAAACAAAACAUACAGGAAAGAAAUAUCUGAAGUCGCUUCAUUCACAGUCAGAAUUUAGGAUAUCAAUAUAGCUUUUUUUGUGUGUCAGAAGCAACUUGCGUCACUUCAAUAUAGCUAAGAAGGUGGUGAGAGCUGUGCCUUGAUGACUCAUGUUAUGAUGAUGAUGAUGAUGAUAAUAAUAAUAAUAAUAAUAAUAAUAAUAAUUUUUUGCCUGAUAUCAUCAUAGGCAUACAUUCUUUUGACAACUUCUGAUUAGAGCAGAAUCAUUGAAUCGUUUUGAAUAGUAAGUCCAGACAUAGCUCAAUCCAUAAAUGGAUCUACUUUAAUGGUCACUGUCUCCAUAUACAAAAAAUACUAAGAGAUAGAAGUAGAUUUCUAUUCAAUGUGUUGUUGAAGGCUUUCAUGGCUGGAAUCACUGGGUUGUUGUGAGUCUUCCGGGUUGUAUUCUAGAAGCAUUCUCUCCUGAUGUUUCACCCACAUCUAUGGCAGGCAUCCUCAGAGGUUGAGGGGUCUGCCAUAGAUGUGGGUGAAACAUCAGGAGAGAAUGCUUCUUAUAGAACAUGGCCAUACAGCCCAAAAGACUCACAACAACCCAGAUUUCUAUUCUUCACUUUAUUAGGGGAACUGGGGAUUUCUUGAUAGACGUUGCUACAAGAAAGAUAAAAUAGCAGAGGAUAUAAUGAAAUAAGCUGAGUUACUGUAAAUAACAGAGGAAACUAUGGGAUACAGUAAAUGUCAGAAGCAGGGAUUUCUGUGGCAUUUUGAACUACUGGAACAAGGGAAUUGCUUUCAGAAUACAUCACAAGUGUGGUUUUGUGGGAGGACCACUUUGGCAAGUUGCUUCUCUGGGUGGAUAGGAAGAGGGUCAAAUCCUCAAGGUCAGAGGUAACCUUACCACUGCUUGCAGGAAGAGAUGGAGAAAGGUAGUAUGAAUAGAGUCUCUAAUGUUGAGAGGCACUAAAGGUUGUCCUGAUAGUUGAUAAGACAUAUUCAUACAACAACUGAAUAUACAGGACUGAUGGAAGACCUACCAAGCCCACUGUUCAUUAUUCUUUUUUACUGAUCUAUGUGGAAAUGAAGGAUAUUAGAACAACUAUGAACAUACUUGAAUACUCCGAGAUCCACAUAUGGGAAUUGCUGAUCGCUUCUAACCAAUUUGUUUUGAGACUGUCUGCAGCUCUUAUCUUGUCUGGGUAUAGGAUCACAAGAAUGCAUUAUUGGUGUGCACUGAUAGGCAAGGGUGUUGAUGGUUUCUGCAAUACCCAAGUCAAUUAGUAUAUUUGAGGGGAUAGAUGGAUGCAGAUUGUGCUUUGUUGUAUGGACUUCAAAUAGAACUAAAGUGAAGGAGUGCCAACAAUGGGUUUCUCUUCCACUAUCAUCCUUUAUUUUUUUGAAGCUGCAGUCUAAAUAUCCCAAAGGCAUGAGAUUUCAUCUGAUCUUGGAAGUUAAGCAGGGUCAGUACUUC